rnacentral:rRNA from 1 species
CGCGUAGGCGGCGUGACAAGUCACUUGUGAAAUCUCCGGGCUUAACUCGGAACGGUCAAGUGAUACUGUUGUGCUAGAGUGCAGAAGGGGCAAUCGGAAUUCUCGGCGUAGCGGUGAAAUGCGUAGAUAUCGAGAGGAACACCAGAGGCGAAGGCGGAUUGCUGGGCUGACACUGACGCUGAGGCGCGAAAGCUAGGUAGCAAACG